GUGCCAGCCGCCGCGGUAAUACGUAGGGGGCGAGCGUUGUCCGGAAUUACUGGGCGUAAAGGGCGGGUAGGCGGCCUGGCAAGUCGGCUGUGAAAUCCCCCGGCUUAACCGGGGAGUGGCAGUCGAAACUGUUGGGCUUGAGUGCAGGAGAGGAGGGUGGAAUUCCUGGUGUAGCGGUGAAAUGCGUAGAUAUCAGGAGGAACACCGGUGGCGAAGGCGACCUUCUGGCCUGUUACUGACGCUGAGGCGCGAAAGCCAGGGGAGCAAACAGGAUUAGAUACCCUGGUAGUCCUGGCUGUAAACGCUGGGUACUAGGUGUCGGGGGUUUAGAUACCUUCUGUGCCGCAGUUAACGCAUUAAGUACCCCGCCUGGGGAGUACGGUCGCAAGGCUGAACCUCAAAGAAAUUGGCGG
rnacentral:rRNA from 1 species